rnacentral:rRNA from 1 species
GAAUAUUGGACAAUGGGCGAAAGCCUGAUCCAGCCAUGCCGCGUGUGUGAAGAAGGUCUUCGGAUUGUAAAGCACUUUAAGUUGGGAGGAAGGGCAGUAAGCGAAUACCUUGCUGUUUUGACGUUACCGACAGAAUAAGCACCGGCUGACUCUGUGCCAGCAGCCGCGGUAAUACAGAGGGUGCAAGCGUUAAUCGGAGUUCCUGGGCGUAAAGCGCGCGUAGGUGGUUCGUUAAGUUGGAUGUGAAAUCCCCGGGCUCAACCUGGGAACUGCAUCCAAAACUGGCGAGCUAGAGUAGGGCAGAGGGUGGUGGAAUUCCGCGUGUAGCAGUGAAAUGCGUAGAUAUGCGGAGGAACACCGAUGGCGAAGGCAACCCCCUGGGCCUGUACUGACGCUCAUGCACGAAAGCGUGGGGAGCAAACAGG